rnacentral:rRNA from 1 species
GAUUUGUCUGGUUUAUUCCGAUAACGAGCGAGACUCUAGCCUACUAACUAGUUCACACAUUGCCUCUGUGUGUGCAACUUCUUAGAGGGAUUUUCGGUGUUUAGCCGCACGAGAUUGAGCAAUAACAGGUCUGUGAUGCCCUUAGAUGUCCGGGGCUGCACGCGCGCUACACUGGCGAAAUCAGCGUGCUUGUCCUUUCUCGAAAGAGAUUGGUAAACCAUUGAAAAUUUGCCGUGAUUGGGAUCGGAAAUUGCAAUUAUUUUCCGUAAACGAGGAAUUCCAAGUAAGUGCGAGUCAUCAACUCGCGUUGAUUACGUCCCUGCCCUUUGUA